CAGCCUGAGAGGCGCUGAGGAGAACGGGAGGUUUUUGGAAGAGGCGCGGAAAGGAGCCCGGGCUGACCGCCGGCCCCGCCCGCAGGCUCACGCCAUGCUAAGGGCGCUUCCCCGUCCCUGAGGAGAGGCGAAGGGGCGGCCGGGGUCGGCGGCGGCGCCGCGGUUGCUAAGUUUGAGCGACAGGAGGCAAACAUGGCCCAAGUGCCCGCUGAUCCGAGUAGUGCGGAAACUGCUGACCCAGAGGAGAGUUCUCCAAAUAUGAUAGUCUACAGAAAGUUGAAGACAUCG